CCUACGGGAGGCAGCAGUGAGGAAUAUUGGUCAAUGGCCGAGAGGCUGAACCAGCCAAGUCGCGUGAGGGAAGACGGCCCUACGGGUUGUAAACCUCUUUUGUCGGGGAGCAAAGCGAGUCACGUGUGACUCAUUGAGAGUACCCGAAGAAAAAGCAUCGGCUAACUCCGUGCCAGCAGCCGCGGUAAUACGGAGGAUGCGAGCGUUAUCCGGAUUUAUUGGGUUUAAAGGGUGCGCAGGCGGAGGUGCAAGUCAGCGGUCAAAUUGCGGGGCUCAACCCCGUACUGCCGUUGAAACUGCAGCCCUUGAGUGCGCGAGAAGUAUGCGGAAUGCGUGGUGUAGCGGUGAAAUGCAUAGAUAUAACGCAGAACUCCGAUUGCGAAGGCAGCAUACCGGCGCGCAACUGACGCUCAUGCACGAAAGCGUGGGUAUCGAACAGGAUUAGAUACCCCAGUAGUC
rnacentral:rRNA from 1 species